rnacentral:rRNA from 1 species
UACGUAGGGGGCUAGCGUUGUCCGGAAUCAUUGGGCGUAAAGAGCGUGUAGGCGGCUCGGUAAGUCCGCUGUGAAAGUCCAGGGCUCAACCCUGGAAUGCCAGUGGAAACUGUCGAGCUAGAGGCCGGAAGAGGCGAGUGGAAUUCCUGGUGUAGCGGUGAAAUGCGCAGAUAUCAGGAGGAACACCGGUGGCGAAGGCGGGUCUCUGGGCCGAAACUGACGCUGAGGAGCGAAAGCGUGGGGAGCAAACAGG